rnacentral:rRNA from 1 species
UACAGAGGUCUCAAGCGUUGUUCGGAUUCAUUGGGCGUAAAGGGUGCGUAGGCGGCGCGGUAAGUCGGGUGUGAAAUCUCGGAGCUUAACUCCGAAACUGCAUUCGAUACUGCGAUGCUUGAGGACUGGAGAGGAGACUGGAAUUUACGGUGUAGCAGUGAAAUGCGUAGAGAUCGUAAGGAAGACCAGUGGCGAAGGCAAUCCCCUGGGCCUGCACUGACGCUCAUGCACGAAAGCGUGGGGAGCAAACAGG